rnacentral:rRNA from 1 species
UACGAACUGUGCGAACGUUAUUCGGAAUCACUGGGCUUACAGGGUGCGUAGGCGGCUUAGCAAGUCAGGUGUGAAAGCCCCCGGCUCAACCGGGGAACUGCGCUUGAAACUGCUGAGCUCGAGUCAGCUAGAGGUACACGGAACUUCCAGUGGAGCGGUGAAAUGUGUUGAUAUUGGAAGGAACACCGGAGGCGAAAGCGGUGUACUGGGGCUGGUCUGACGCUGAGGCACGAAAGCCAGGGGAGCGAACGGGAUUAGAUACCCCGGUAGUCCUGGCCGUAAACGAUGAGUGCUGGACGGGAGGAGGUUCGCCUUCUCCGGUCGGAGCGAAAGCGGGAAGCACUCCGCCUGGGGAGUAUGGUCGCAAGGCUG